rnacentral:lncRNA from 1 species
AUUCUUAAAGAUUGCUAUUGCAUAUCUAUAGCCAGUAAGAAUUUGAUUUCUAUAUCUAUGCUGGCACAGGAUAUUAUAAUUUUUAUUUCAAUAGAGACAUGUGUUUGAUUUAUUUUAGAAAUAAAAUUAUUGUAUGUGCUUUCUUAAUUGAUGGUCUUUAUCAUUUAUAUAUGGAUGAGAGUGUAAAUAUUAACGAGUAAAUUAUGAAUGCCAUA